rnacentral:rRNA from 1 species
ACAUAGGGUGCAAGCGUUGUCCGGAAUUAUUGGGCGUAAAGAGCUCGUAGGUCGUUUGUCGCGUCGAUUGUGAAAAUCUGAGGCUCAACCUCAGACCUGCAGUCGAUACGGGCAAACUAGAGUGUGGUAGGGGAGACUGGAAUUCCUGGUGUAGCGGUGGAAUGCGCAGAUAUCAGGAGGAACACCAAUGGCGAAGGCAGGUCUCUGGGCCAUAACUGACACUGAGGAGCGAAAGUGCGGGGAGCGAACAGGAUUAGAUACCCUGGUAGUCCGCACCGUAAACGGUGGGCACUAGUUGUGGGAACCUUCCACGGUUUCUGCGACGCAGCUAACGCAUUAAGUGCCCCGCCUGGGGAGUACGAUCGCAAGAUUA